CCUACGGGUGGCAGCAGUGAGGAAUAUUGGUCAAUGGUCGGGAGACUGAACCAGCCAAGCCGCGUGAGGGAUGAAGGUACAGAGUACCGUAAACCUCUUUUGUCAGGGAACAAAGGCGGGGACGUGUCCCCGGAUGAGUGUACCUGAAGAAAAAGCAUCGGCUAACUCCGUGCCAGCAGCCGCGGUAAUACGGAGGAUGCGAGCGUUAUCCGGAUUUAUGGGGUUUAAGGGGUGCGCAGGCGGUCUGUUAAGUCAGCGGUCAAAGCCCGGGGCUCACCCCCGGCCCGCCGUGGAAACUGGCAGUCUCGAGUUGGAGAGAGGUAGGCGGAAUGCGCGGUGUAGCGGUGAAAUGCAUAGAUAUCGCGCAGAACUCCGAUUGCGAAGGCAGCAUGCCGGCUCCACACUGACGCUGAGGCACGAAAGCGUGGGUAUCGAACAGGAUUAGAUACCCCAGUAGUC
rnacentral:rRNA from 1 species